UACAGAGGGGGCGAGCGUUGUUCGGAAUUACUGGGCGUAAAGCGUGCGUAGGCGGCCUUCUAAGUCAGACGUGAAAUCCCUCGGCUCAACCGAGGAACUGCGUCUGAUACUGGUUGGCUUGAAUUCGGGAGAGGGAUGCGGAAUUCCAGGUGUAGCGGUGAAAUGCGUAGAUAUCUGGAGGAACACCGGUGGCGAAGGCGGCAUCCUGGACCGAGAUUGACGCUGAUGCGCGAAAGCCAGGGGAGCAAACGGG
rnacentral:rRNA from 1 species